CGGCGGACGGGUGAGUAACGCGUGGGUAACCUGCCUUACACAGGGGGAUAACAGUUAGAAAUGACUGCUAAUACCGCAUAAGACCACAGUACUGCAUGGUACAGUGGUAAAAACUGAGGUGGUGUAAGAUGGACCCGCGUCUGAUUAGGUAGUUGGUGGGGUAACGGCCCACCAAGCCGACGAUCAGUAGCCGGCCUGAGAGGGUGGACGGCCACAUUGGGACUGAGACACGGCCCAGACUCCUACGGAAGGCAGCAG
rnacentral:rRNA from 1 species